UACGUAGGGUGCGAGCGUUAAUCGGAAUUACUGGGCGUAAAGCGUGCGCAGGCGGUUUGCUAAGACCGAUGUGAAAUCCCCGGGCUCAACCUGGGAACUGCAUUGGUGACUGGCAGGCUAGAGUAUGGCAGAGGGGGGUAGAAUUCCACGCGUAGCAGUGAAAUGCGUAGAGAUGUGGAGGAAUACCGAUGGCGAAGGCAGCCCCCUGGGCCAAUACUGACGCUCAUGCACGAAAGCGUGGGGAGCAAACAGG
rnacentral:rRNA from 1 species